GCUGAGUGGCGCAGCGGAAGCGCGCCGGGCUCAUAACCCGGAGGGCAAUGGAUCGUGAGUUGAACGCACACAGGUCGAAAAUCUGCCUCGUACU
rnacentral:tRNA from 1 species